GUGCCUUAAACUAAUGAGUAAGGAAAAUAUACUAGCCUUGGUGAUGCUUGGCUUAAUUUUUAGGCUCAUCGCCUAAUCCCAAUUUUUGUAGAGGUACAGGUCGUCCUGUGGACAGCUGCCUACUUUUCGUAGUCGUCCUGGUGACAGCGAUCUGCCUC